rnacentral:rRNA from 1 species
AACGCGAAGAACCUUACCUACUCUUGACAUCCAGAGAACUUAGCAGAGAUGCUUUGGUGCCUUCGGGAACUCUGAGACAGGUGCUGCAUGGCUGUCGUCAGCUCGUGUUGUGAAAUGUUGGGUUAAGUCCCGCAACGAGCGCAACCCUUAUCCUUUGUUGCCAGCGAUUCGGUCGGGAACUCAAAGGAGACUGCCGGUGAUAAACCGGAGGAAGGUGGGGAUGACGUCAAGUCAUCAUGGCCCUUACGAGUAGGGCUACACACGUGCUACAAUGGCGCAUACAAAGAGAAGCGACCUCGCGAGAGCAAGCGGACUUCACAAAGUGCGUCGUAGUCCGGAUCGGAGUCUGCAACUCGACUCCGUGAAGUCGGAAUCGCUAGUAAUCGUGGAUCAGAAUGCCACGGUGAAUACGUUCCCGGGCCUUGUACACACCG